rnacentral:rRNA from 1 species
CCUACGGGAGGCAGCAGUGGGGAAUAUUGGGCAAUGGACGCAAGCCUGACCCAGCAACGCCGCGUGAAGGAAGACGGCCCUCGGGUUGUAAACUUCUUUUGUCAGGGACGAAAACACUGACGGUACCUGACGAAUAAGCCACGGCUAACUACGUGCCAGCAGCCGCGGUAAUACGUAGGUGGCAAGCGUUAUCCGGAUUUACUGGGUGUAAAGGGCGUGUAGGCGGGAGAGUAAGUCAGAUGUGAAAUUCCGGGGCUCAACCCUGGAAUUGCAUUUGAAACUGUUUUUCUUGAGUGAUGGAGAGGCAGGCGGAAUUCCGUGUGUAGCGGUGAAAUGCGUAGAGAUACGGAGGAACACCAGUGGCGAAGGCGGCCUGCUGGACAUUAACUGACGCUGAGGCGCGAAAGCGUGGGGAGCAAACAGGAUUAGAUACCCGAGUAGUC